UCCUCCAGGGGAUCUUCCCCACCCAGGGAUCGAACCUGAGUCUCUUACAUCUCCUGCAUUGGCAGGCGGUUUCUUUACCACUAGUGCCGCCUGGGAAGCCCUGUGAAUGAGCAUAGCUAUGUUCUAAUAACAUUUGAUUUAUACAAAUGCUGGCAGGCUGGAUUUAGCGCUUGGGUCAUAAUUUGCUGACCCCUGCUAUACCCUAAAGUCAGGUAGUCACAUCUUGAGAUAUCUGCCAUUAUUGUCCCUUCCAUCCAUGCAUUACAUGAGCCCCACCUCCUUCUCCCCAGUUGCUGAGGGGCACAAUCGAUUGGACCAGGGUGACACCUGACCCAGGCUGGACCAAUCAGAGUCUCUCCCCCAAUUUAGCUAUGAGGCUGACAGGGUCAGCUUGCCUCUGGAGCUGAUCUCAUUGGAGUGGAAGUGUAGCAUCUCAUGUCUGUUCCCUGGACGGAAAAGGAGAAAAGGCUGGGCUCCGGGCAUGUGGAUGAAGCAGCGCACGUGGAGCAGGCUGCCUGGGGUGCUGCUGCCCUUCCGGAUGGACAGCAUGCCUUCCUGAGCCCUGACCACACCCCUGCCCUCAGUUCCCAGCAGCCCGCCUGGAUCCUUAUCAUGAUGCCUGCCUUUCUGAGUUUGGCAGCUUAGAUCAGUACCUGCUUCUCCUAACCAAGCAAAGCAUCCUGAACCACUUUCUCCUUCUGAAAGCCAUUCAGGCUCGUUUUGGACAUUUGUGCCAGGCCUUGGUAGACACAGAUAGGAAUGGGUCAUGUCCUUGCCCUCUAGCAGCGGAUGGGUAGGCAGUCCAUCCAGAGGACAUUCCUGCUCCUCACCCUAGCACAGCCCACAGCAGACUGAUCAGGGCCACCUCAUCUGCCAGGGAGCGAGGGGCAGGGGUGGGAGAUGGAGGAAUCUGAGAGCCUUGGUUGCAGAGGGGCCAUUGUAGGCUUUGAAGAAUGAGUUGUCUGUCAUCAGGCAGAAAAAUAAGAGGCGAUGGCAUGAAGGGAGAGCAUCAUUUUCCAAAGCAUUUCCGUGGGACACCAACUCCAGGAGUUUUAUUGUAUCCGCUCUUCCGUUCCUCCUUACCCAGAGACCUCCAAUUCCUUCUGGGUGAUAAUGGGCCCUUAAAAUUACUCAACCUUCCAGGCUCCCUUGCAGCUAGGGUGCUCGUGUGACAUGCUUCUGGCAGAUGAGAUGUAGCAGAAGUCUGCUGAGGGAGCUUCUGGGAUAUAAAGGUUCUGCUCCUCUCUUCUCUUUGCGUCUUCCUGCCUGGAACGUAACUGUGCUGUCUGAAAGGGCUGCAGCCGUUUUGCCGCCAUGGAGGUGGAAGAUACCUGUGGGGGAUGGCAGAGCGGGAGGCUAGAAGGAGCCUGGAUCCCAGGGCCACGUCUGAGCCACUACAUCAGCUCUGGACUGCCCAUCUCUGCUGGUUCCUGGCUGCUACUGAGGGGCCGUUUCUCUGCCUGCAGUUCUGCACAUUCUUAACUAAUGCAUUGUUUUACGGUAAAAGGAGACUGUGGGCCAAUUAAGUGUGAGCACACCAGUUUCCACUUUCAGAGAUUAAAAACAAUAGAUUAUUAAACCUCCAAGAAGUCUUAAAGGUGGUUGUCUAACUCAAUGCUUCCCAAAAUAUCUGUUCACCAACAUCCCCUGUCCCCACCCUUUCUGGGACACCAAUGAACGCCCCAUGGAAUACACUUCGGGAAACAAGCUAUAGAGAAAAUAAUUUGGGCUUUGGAGUUGAGGAGGAUCUGGGUUGAAUGCUGUGUGGCGUCAGACAUGUCACUCACCCUCUCUGAGCCAGAGAUUCCUACUCCAUAAGAUGAGGGAGGGCCAUAUAGAUUAAAGGUAAUCCAGGUAAAGCGCCUGCACUGUUCUUGGUUCCUGCUCCGUCAUCAGCAGUUCUCAUUAACAGUGGAUCAUAUUUUGGAAAGAAACUGGCAUUAGAGACAGAAGAACCUGGCUUGUGGAAUAGUUCUACCAUUUUCUUUUGAGGUCCUGGGCAAGUGACUUCACUUCUCAGGGCCUCUGUGUUCUGAACUAUUAAGUAGAGAAUAUAAUGUCCUCUUGGGGAAAUGGAGGUGUGUGAAAAGGUCUGGUGCAGAGAAGCCUCACCCAGUGUCAGAGGCAUGUCUGAGCUGAGCUCUGUCCACCAGGCCCCGUGGACCUCUGUCGCCACCCCGACUCCAGAAGGCUACAUACACUGAGCACCCUGGGGCAGUAAGUCAGGCAGGGUGGCUUUGGCAGUUUCAUUCUGCCGGGGGUCUGCCUCACCUCCCAGCUCACCUCUCCAUCUUCCUCCAGGGUCACCACUGGGCCCCCAGGGGCUCUCUGGGGCAGACCUCUGCUCCAGGCCACUCGGACACCUUGUCACCCAAGCCUGCAGGGCUCGCUGCAGCUCCCAGCCUUUGUCCAGCUGGGUUCCCUGGCUCACAAGGUGGAAACCCAAGUCGGAGCCUUGGGAAGAAACACCUGCAGGUUCCUGACCACCCAGCAGUGGGGGCUGGGCUCACCCUCCAUCGUGAGUCUUGCCCCAGCACUUGCUGCUCAGGGCUGUCCACUCGGGCCUCGUGAUAAAGGAAGAAAUGAAGGAGGCCGAGGGAGCAGACCCGGCUCUGAGGAAGCAGACACCCAGUGAAUCCUAAAGGAAAUCAACCCUGAUUAUUCAUUGGAAGGACUGACUGAUGCUGUAGAUGAAGCUUUGAUACUUUGGCCGCCUGGUACAAAGAGCCAACUCAUUGGAAAAUCCCUGAUGCUGGGAAAGAUUGAAGGCAGGAGGAGAAGGGGAUGACAGAGGACAAGAUGGUUGGAUGUCAUCACUGACUCGAUGGACAUGAGUUUGAGCAGGCUCUGGGAGCUGGUGAUGAACAGGGAGGCCUGGCAUGCUGCAGUGCAUGGGGUCGCAAAGAGUCCGACACGACUGAGCCACUGAACAACAACAAUUAGGCCCCCGCAGCCUGUCCCCAGGCACGGCCAGCUCUCCCGGGGUCUCCCCUGCUGUGUCCCACAGCCCCACCCAGGAAGGGAGGCUCUGUGACCUCCUGUGCAGCAUGGAGGGCACUUCAGGAAGGCCAACAGCAGAGAAAACAGGGAACCGGUGGGAGAAGGACCUUCUCCAGAGCCCCGACCCAGCCUCUCUUCCCUCUGGAUGUUAGAGCCAGAGACCCAGCCACCGUCACCAUUCACCCUGGGCCAUCUGCUUUGGCCCCAGACCCUGGGAAGGAGGGGCCUUCAGGCUGCCCAUGCAUCCGUGUCUCAUGCGUGAGGGGUGGGCAGGGAGAGAUGGUUCCCAAAGACCCUCAGCUGCCAGACCAACUUCUCCACAUCAGCAACCCCCGAGGCGAGGCCCUCAAGUCACUGCUUGGGGUUGGGGUGUCAACCUGGCACCUCCGCUUCCCUCUAAAGCUCAGAACUGCCCUUCCCAGAAGAUGCUUCCCUGCCGGGUUUGAAUAGUAAGAUUUGCAAGGUGGAAGUGAAGUCCAGAGUUGGGGUCAUGCCAGACACGUGGAAGUCCGCCACUGGCCCCAGCGUGUCCUGGCUCCCCUCCUGUCCCACAUCCAGCCUGUCUUCCUGAUCGCUGCAGCCUCCAGCGGUCCCCAGGCCACCACCUGGCACCGUGGCAGGGCAGCAGCCUCCUCAGACCUCUCCCCGCGCUCUCUCUCCAUGGCCCCACUUCGCCAAUCUCCCCGCAGGCUUGAGCCCAAGUCCUAAGGGUGUACAGGGAGACUGAGGGGCAGAGCUGGCCUGUGGCUCCUCCCAGAGAGAACGUGGGGUGUAGUGGCCAGAAUGCAAACAGGCUAUCACAGCCCAUCACUGACCCGCCUGUGGGAGCUCAGCCGAGUCCCCCCUCCCGUGCCACUGUUGCCGUGUCGAUGUUUUGGAUGGUGGUGAUUUUCUACAGGGUGUCUGUGAGGGUUUGAGAGCGUGUUCUAAAGCUCCUGGUCGUGGAAGGUGCCCCUUAAGUGAUCAGUGACAUUGCCUCUCGUGUGAGCAUUCAUAUUACUUGUUUUUCUAAAACUUAUGCCCUUUUCACCUGAAUGUACAUUUGAAUGUACAUUCUUAAAAUCUACAUCCUGAAUGUACAUUUAAAAAAAUAAAGAAAAAUGAAGCUUUAACUUCAAAUAUCUGCUGCACCUCCCCCCCAGCUCCUAGGGCCUGGCCCCUCUCAGAGGAGCCCAUUUGGUGUCUUGGCUGCUCUGAGGCCUCCUCUACACUUGGGGUCCAGAAACCUCUCAGUUCUAAAUGAAGCUCAACCUGAAUCCACAUGC